CCAUUGUGCCUGCUAGCCUUUUAGCUCACUGACACUUUACAGACGGUGCAAAGGGAAACUGGAGUCAGAGCCCUGUUGUCACUCACUCUGUGUAAGGAAUCACCUCCAAGUGUAUCAAAGGCCUUCUCGGGAGACCUUCAGCUCUGAAAGUGCUCUAGGCAAACACUUGAAGCAAAGCUGUUCUGAAGAAGGACUCCAGCCGCUCAGGAAGUAACAGGAAGAGGUCCUUUAUGUUAACUCGAGAGCCAACAUUUCCCCCAAUGAAGUUGUAUCUAGCCCUGCCUGGUGCUGCCAGCUGAGCCUCAGCCAUGUGGGCAGCAUAUGCACAGUCAUGGUCAGCUCACAGACCACCAUAGAACUAAAAGGGAGAUGGCGACACAACCGCAUUCAAGACUCGGGGGCAGAGGACCAACCUCGUCUAUGUCUGAGGCCUUUGCCCAGAGCUACACUUCCUUCAGGCUGGUUGCCAGGACUCAACCCUGAUUGGAGGCAGAGGAGACACACUCCCGUCUCAGUUUCAAGUCUUCAUGUUUGGGUUGCAAAUGGGAAUUGAUAGUUCCAGCCUCCAGAUAGAUAAUGGAGAUCCACUACCUCCAGACAUCUGCCGCAUAUGUCUAUGACCCACGGGCUCGCUCUGAAAAGGACUGCUUCUGCUUCCCAGCCCUGGAAAUUUGAGCAUCUAGCUGCCACCAAGACUUCAAGCCUGUUUCAUUUAAACCUGUGUGCUGAUCUGUAUAAAGUGGUUUUAUCCCAUUGCCCCCAAGCUACUCAUAAA
rnacentral:lncRNA from 1 species